rnacentral:rRNA from 1 species
CCAGACAGCCAGGAUGUUGGCUUAGAAGCAGCCAUCAUUUAAAGAAAGCGUAAUAGCUCACUGGUCGAGUCGGCCUGCGCGGAAGAUGUAACGGGGCUAAACCAUGCACCGAAGCUGCGGCAGCGACACUAUGUGUUGUUGGGUAGGGGAGCGUUCUGUAAGCCUGUGAAGGUGGCCUGUGAGGGUUGCUGGAGGUAUCAGAAGUGCGAAUGCUGACAUAAGUAACGAUAAAGCGGGUGAAAAGCCCGCACGCCGGAAGACCAA